rnacentral:rRNA from 1 species
AACGAACGCUGGCGGCAUGCCUAACACAUGCAAGUCGAACGAGACCUUCGGGUCUAGUGGCGCACGGGUGCGUAACGCGUGGGAACCUGCCCUUAGGUUCGGAAUAACUCCCCGAAAGGGGUGCUAAUACCGGAUAAUGUCUUCGGACCAAAGAUUUAUCGCCUUUGGAUGGGCCCGCGUUGGAUUAGCUAGUUGGUAGGGUAAAAGCCUACCAAGGCGACGAUCCAUAGCUGGUCUGAGAGGAUGAUCAGCCACACUGGGACUGAGACACGGCCCAGACUCAUACGGGAGGCAGCAGUGGGGAAUAUUGGACAAUGGGCGAAAGCCUGAUCCAGCAAUGCCGCGUGAGUGAUGAAGGCCUUAGGGUUGUAAAGCUCUUCUACCCGGGAUGAUAAUGACAGUACCGGGAGAAUAAGCUCCGGCUAACUCCGUG